rnacentral:rRNA from 1 species
GCUCAGAACGAACGCUGGCGGCAGGCUUAACACAUGCAAGUCGAGCGCCCCUCCUUCAAGCAAGCUUGAAGGAUUUUUAUCCUUGGAAAGGAAGAUCAAGAAGAGCUUCUAAGAAGCUUUCUUGAUGGAGGGGAGCGGCAGACGGGUGAGUAACGCGUGGGAAUCUACCCUUGACUACGGAAUAACGCAGGGAAACUUGUGCUAAUACCGUAUGUGUCCUUCGGGAGAAAGAUUUAUCGGUCAAGGAUGAGCCCGCGUUGGAUUAGCUAGUUGGUGGGGUAAAGGCCUACCAAGGCGACGAUCCAUAGCUGGUCUGAGAGGAUGAUCAGCCACAUUGGGACUGAGACACGGCCCAAACUCCUACGGGAGGCAGCAGUGGGGAAUAUUGGACAAUGGGCGCAAGCCUGAUCCAGCCAUGCCGCGUGAGUGAUGAAGGCCCUAGGGUUGUAAAGCUCUUUCACCGGAGAAGAUAAUGAC